UGCACCACUCGAGAGCCCAUACAGCCCUCCAUACAUUGAGGAGCCAUUUCAUGCAAAUCCUCCUUUCCUAUUACACAAAUACUGCAGACCUCAGAAUUAGCAGACAAAGAGCAACGCUGCAUCCUCAAUAUGUUUAAGAAUAGCUCAAAGGCUGCCUGCUGGGCUAAAACCACCACGAUUUCCACACCAUGCAAGCUGACUGCUGGAUUACACAGUUUGCUUUACCAAUAGUAAAAUAGGAAACAGAAAUAAGGUGGUUAUUGCUGCAAUCAUUUGCUUGUGUGUCUUCUGUGGUGAAAGCCAUAUUCUCCCCGGUCGUCUCCUAGGCCUCUGACAGACACAGCGGUUGCCAGGUCAAACGAAGCAGCCCAGCUGAUUUGUAUUCUCCCCGGUCGUCUCCUAGGCCUCUGACAGACACAGCGGUUGCCAGGUCAAACGAAGCAGCCCAGCUGAUUUGUAUUCUCCCCGGUCGUCUCCUAGGCCUCUGACAGACACAGCGGUUGCCAGGUCAAACGAAGCAGCCCAGCUGAUUUGUAUUCUCCCCGGUCGUCUCCUAGGCCUCUGACAGACACAGCGGUUGCCAGGUCAAACGAAGCAGCCCAGCUGAUUUGUAUUCUCCCCGGUCGUCUCCUAGGCCUCUGACAGACACAGCGGUUGCCAGGUCAAACGAAGCAGCCCAGCUGAUUUGUAUUCUCCCCGGUCGUCUCCUAGGCCUCUGACAGACACAGCGGUUGCCAGGUCAAACGAAGCAGCCCAGCUGAUUUGUAUUCUCCCCGGUCGUCUCCUAGGCCUCUGACAGACACAGCGGUUGCCAGGUCAAACGAAGCAGCCCAGCUGAUUUGUAUUCUCCCCGGUCGUCUCCUAGGCCUCUUACAGACACAGCGGUUGCCAGGUCAAACGAAGCAGCCCAGCUGAUUUGUAUUCUCCCCGGUCGUCUCCUAGGCCUCUGACAGACACAGCGGUUGCCAGGUCAAACGAAGCAGCCCAGCUGAUUUGUAUUCUCCCCGGUCGUCUCCUAGGCCUCUGACAGACACAGCGGUUGCCAGGUCAAACGAAGCA